GAACUGGGAGGGGUCGAGCGGCCCGGGAUCUAUGGGACACCUGACAGGCCCUUUGCACGCACCACGCACCUGCAGCCACGGUGUGAGAGAGGUGCUGAGAACCCGGUGCUGGGAAGGGACCUUUCCAGGGAAAUGCCUGCCAAAAGGUUCAAGGCUGUCGACAAGCAGCAUGUGCUGGGACAGAGGCAGCUGCAGAGUCCCCAGGCAUCUUUGAAGACCGGAGCCCACCAUGCCCCACCUGCUUCGUCCCACCGGACCCUGCUCCACCCUGCAGAGCAAGCACCUCUGCCCUCCCACGCACGCCCCCGCCUCCAAGAGCUCAAGGCCAGGACCAGUGCUGGGCAGAGGUCAGUUCAGCUGGGUCGCUGCAGGCUAGUGACUUGGUGCGAAGUGCAGCUUCUUUGCAAAUGUCCUCUGCUCCCUCCUCUGCUGAACCCUGGGUCCUAACCCCUGAUGGUGUCUUUCUUCCAGUUGGCCCGGUUAGACUGGUGAAGCUGCAAAGUAUGGGCUUAGUUAAGCAUGCAGGAUGCUGGAACUGUUGAAGCCCGUGAAUAAAAUGGAUUCAUUUGUUCUGGCUGAGGACAGGAUGGAGAUUCGGGGUGGGGUGGGGUGUGAAAAUGAACAAGGUAAUUUUUUUAGUGUCUUUUAUAGAUCGCAUGUCACUUUGUUAGUUUACGAGCAUUAAAAAUGUAUAACAUAGAGCUUGUUCUGCUCAUAAAAUGAUCCUCUUUGGCAUAUUAAAAUUUAAAGUAUAGUUUAUUCAGGCAGUAAUUACACUUUUACUAAUUGAAUUUACCUCUAAAUAUUUCAAAGUUUUGUAAUAAAUUGAGCUACAAGAUACUGAGCCUCAAGGUGUUUGUAUACAAUGGUGUUUGAGAAAUGGGCAAAACCCUUGACAACAGAAGAAAUCAGCAGCAUUGGAAUAAAAUGGGAAAAGGCUUUCUGUUUUUUGGCGUUUUCUGAUACCUACAGUAAGGACAAGAACCCAAGUA